GACAGAGGGGGCAAGCGUUGCUCGGAAUCACUGGGCGUAAAGGGCGCGUAGGCGGGAUGGCAAGUCAGUCGUGAAAUCUCUCGGCUCAACCGAGAAACGUCGGCUGAUACUGCCGUUCUUGAGGGAUGCAGAGGAGACUGGAAUUCCCGGUGUAGCGGUGAAAUGUGUAGAGAUCGGGAGGAACACCGGUGGCGAAGGCGGGUCUCUGGGCAUCUCCUGACGCUGAGACGCGAAAGCGUGGGUAGCGAACAGG
rnacentral:rRNA from 1 species